rnacentral:lncRNA from 1 species
GAUUACUGCAGUAUUCUCAGUGUUCCAAGACUGUUACAAUAGGUUUCCCCAACCUUUAUUUGCUCAGGUCUUUAUUCAUAGUGAGAAGCAACUGCAUUCGUGCAGAUUAGGUGUCAUGAGAAACGGAUCUUCAAAAAAAGGCCUGAAUGGAGAAUGAGAUCCUGUUAUGUUUUCAUCCCUCUACCAGAACUGAUAUAUCUAAACAUUUCUAUUUAAGUCUUUAAAGGAUAUUUGCUUUCCAUCAGAUUACUUUAAACUUCCCUUUAAAGAGUCUCAGUGGUACUUCACUCUCUGUUCAUGUCAUGAUUUGCUAUAGAUUAUGAAACUGAUUUUUAGAAUAUGAGCCAUAUUGAAUAUGAUACUCUGAUCCUUAUGGAGUUGGUGUACUGAACCUCAGAUCAAUUGAAGGGACAGCGGGAGAAGAGGAGGCUCUGGGGAAAGCUCAUAGCAGCCUUCCAGUACUAAAAGGGGCCUACAGGAAAGACAAGACUCUUUUUCAGGGAGUGCAGUAAUAGGAUAAGGGGUAACAGAUUUAAACUAAAAGUACGUGCAUGUAGAUUAGAUAUUAGAUAUUACUCAGAGGUUGGUGAGGCCCUGCCACUGCUGCCUGGAGAGCUGUGGGUGCCCCAUCUCUAAAAGUGUUCAAGGCCAGGUUGAAUGGGCCUUAAGUAAUCUUAUUCAGCGGGGCACAUCCCUGCCUGUGGCAGUGGGGGUUUGAACUAGAUGGCCUCUGAAAGCCAUUCCAACCUAAGCUAUUCUACUAUUCUGUGACAGUAAUCUAGAAAAGAGCUUGGUCCUAGGAGUGCUGCAUGGACAUUUGUCUACUAUCCAGAGAAUAAUUAUUCCAUCACUAUGUGGACCACACAAUCAUAGAAUCAUAAAAUCACCACGGUUGGAAAAGACCUACAAGAUCAUCCAGUCCAACCAUCCACGAACAGUUCUCACUAAACCACGUCCCUCAACACAAUGUCUAAGUGCUCCUUGAACACCUCCAGGGCUGGUGACUCCACCACCUCUGUGGUCAGCCCAUUCCAGUGCCUGACCACUCCUUUGGAGAAGUAGUAUUUCCUAACAUCCAACCUGAAAACAACAAAUGGAACAAUCUACAAUCUAUGGCAGCAGAGGGACAGUCUGACAGAAUGGCGUCUGACAUGAAAGUGAAUAUGGAGCAAAGGGGUGGAACUGAAUUCCUCCAUGUGGACAGAAUUAUACCGAUUGACAUUCAUCAACACUUGUGGAUGUUUACGGAGACCCAACAGUGGAUGUGAGCACAGUGAAUGUGUUUCAGCAGUGGUGAUAGCAACAAUGGGCCACCUCCACUGGUACAGGCUUUUCUGAGUGUCGUAUGCAGGCUCUUCUUUAUUGCUGGUGAAAAUGCACAGCUAAUGGUGGUGGCUGUGUUGAAAAAUAGUGCUUUGUACCUGA